rnacentral:rRNA from 1 species
UACAGAGGGUGCUAGCGUUGUUCGGAAUCAUUGGGCGUAAAGGGCGUGUAGGCGGUUUGUUAAGUCAUGUGUGAAAUCUACAGGCUCAACUUGUAGUCUGCAUGAGAAACUGCCGGGCUUGAGUAUGGGAGAGGUGAGUGGAAUUCCUGGUGUAGCGGUGGAAUGCGUCGAUAUCAGGAAGAACACCCGUGGCGAAGGCGGCUCUCUGGAACGCAACUGACGCUGAGACGCGAAAGCGUGGGGAGCAAACAGG